GGCGCAGUGGCGGAGUGGUUAUCGCGCAAGACUAGAAUCUUACCAGAACCAAGAAUCCUAUCUAGUUCUAUUAGAAGCUGAUCUUGUUCCUUCGGGAGCGUCUGUUCGAAUCAGGCCUGCGUCG